GAUCUCUUCUGGAGAUUGCCUUUAUUGGUGUUUUGUAGUGAGCCUAGCCUAAGGGACUCCAUCCCAUCUGACUUCUUAUCCUAAAAGAGUGAAAUAGAGUCUUCUGUCAAGAAAGUUGGAGCAGCUCUUGGACAUCAUCCAAAUAAGGAGGAAAAAUAUAAAUCAGGUCCCCAAAGAGUUUAGAGAUGAAAAUUUCUGAAGUUGCCUGCGAAAGAUGUCAUCUCAGUGAAGGGUGGUCUAUCUGCACAUUGAUCCAAGGCUGUACGCUGAGGGACACUUAAGGUCAAUUAAUACAAUGAACUGAGUAGAAGAAUAAAGAUACAAGAUGGAGUAUCUUUAUGUCUGACUAUCAAAAAUCUUUCAAGAUUUGUGAAAAUGUAAAUGUUAGAAGAAAUCAGCUUCUCCUAUAAAGCUUAUUACUUCAAAGACAGAAGAUGUGUCUGUUCCAAAGAGUUUAAAACCCAUAUUACAUACUUAGCCACCAGACCUUUGAGAAUGGGACAUAUUCCUCGCAGAAACCAAGUCAAGAUUCACAGGAUCACCCAGGAGUGGAACUGGGUAGUUUAAUGUUUAAGGUUUUUUUCAGGUAGGCAGAGUCUCAGGUACUGGUGCUUUCCCCCCAGUAUUAUGUGCUCUGUGCAAAGAUUGCUUUAAGAAAAAAUAUAUCAUUUUUUUCAGUUACCAUUCAGA